GAUGAAGAACGCAGCGAAACGCGAUAAGUAAUGUGAAUUGCAGAAUUUAGUGAAUCAUCGAACUUUUGAACGCACAUUGCGCCCGGCGGCACUCCGCCGGGCAUGCCUGUCCGAGCGUCAUUAUACUGCCCUCGACUCUCCGAGUCGGUGUUGGGAGUCUCUGCGCCUGUACGCAGCUCCCCAAGUCCACUGGCGUCGCGCCACGGUGCCCCUGCGUAGUAAUUUCACCUCGCUUGGGACCCGGGGUGCCGGCUGCCUUCUCUCUCGCAGCAGGCUCUUUCGAGUCGGCUCCAGCACAGUUGACCUCGGAUCAGGUAGGGUUACCCGCUGAACUUAAGCAUAUCAAUAAGCGGAGGA
rnacentral:misc_RNA from 1 species